GGAAUAUUGGACAAUGGGCGAAAGCCUGAUCCAGCAAUGCCGCGUGAGUGAUGAAGGCCUUAGGGUUGUAAAGCUCUUUUACCCGGGAUGAUAAUGACAGUACCGGGAGAAUAAGCCCCGGCUAACUCCGUGCCAGCAGCCGCGGUAAUACGGAGGGGGCUAGCGUUGUUCGGAAUUACUGGGCGUAAAGCGAGUGUAGGCGGCUACGUAAGUCGGUUGUGAAAGCCCCGGGCUUAACCUGGGAAUUGCGUUCGAUACUGCGUGGCUAGAGUCUGAUAGAGGGAAGUGGAAUUCCAGGUGUAGCGGUGAAAUGCGUAGAUAUCUGGAGGAACAUCAGUGGCGAAGGCGGCUUCCUGGAUCAAGACUGACGCUCAGGCUCGAAAGCGUGGGUAGCAAAC
rnacentral:rRNA from 1 species